UACGUAGGGGGCAAGCGUUGUCCGGAUUUAUUGGGCGUAAAGGGUGCGUAGGUGGCGUCGUAAGUCGGGUGUGAAAUUUCGGAGCUUAACUCCGAAACUGCAUUCGAUACUGCGGUGCUUGAGGACUGGAGAGGAGACUGGAAUUUACGGUGUAGCAGUGAAAUGCGUAGAGAUCGUAAGGAAGACCAGUGGCGAAGGCGGGUCUCUGGACAGUUCCUGACACUGAGGCACGAAGGCCAGGGAGCAAACGGG
rnacentral:rRNA from 1 species